rnacentral:rRNA from 1 species
CCAACAGGGAUUGCCUUAGUAGCGGCGAGUGAAGCGGCAAAAGCUCAAAUUUGAAAUCUGGCUCUUUCAGAGUCCGAGUUGUAAUUUGAAGAAGGUAUCUUUGGGUCUGGCUCUUGUCUAUGUUUCUUGGAACAGAACGUCACAGAGGGUGAGAAUCCCGUGCGAUGAGAUGAUCCAGGCCUAUGUAAAGUUCCUUCGAAGAGUCGAGUUGUUUGGGAAUGCAGCUCUAAGUGGGUGGUAAAUUCCAUCUAAAGCUAAAUAUUGGCGAGAGACCGAUAGCGAACAAGUACAGUGAUGGAAAGAUGAAAAGAACUUUGAAAAGAGAGUGAAAAAGUACGUGAAAUUGUUGAAAGGGAAGGGCUUGAGAUCAGACUUGGUAUUUUGUAUGUUACUUCUUCGGGGGUGGCCUCUACAGUUUAUCGGGCCAGCAUCAGUUUGGGCGGUAGGAGAAUUGCGUUGGAAUGUGGCACGGCUUCGGUUGUGUGUUAUAGCCUUCGUCGAUACUGCCAGCCUAGACUGAGGACUGCGGUUUAUACCUAGGAUGUUGGCAUAAUGAUCUUAAGUCGCCCGUCUGAAAAACCGGGACCAAAAAAAA